UGGAGGUGAAGGACCCAGAGGACAAGGUCAUCCUGGCCCGGCAGUAUGGCUCCGAGGGCAGGUUCACUUUCACUUCCCAUACCCCUGAGAGUUCACCUGGACAUCCAGGUAGGUGAACAUGCCAACGACUAUGCAGAAAUUGCU
rnacentral:sRNA from 1 species